AGUGAACGCUGGCGGUAGGCCUAACACAUGCGAGUCGAACGGCAGCACAGUAAGAGCUUGCUCUUACGGGUGGCGAGUGGCGGACGGGUGAGGAAUACAUCGGAAUCUACUUUUUCGUGGGGGAUAACGUAGGGACACUUACGCUAAUGCCGCAUACGACCUACGGGUGAAAGCAGGGGAUCUUCGGACCUUGCGCGAUUGAAUGAGCCGAUGUCGGAUUAGCUAGUUGGCGGGGUAAAGGCCCACCAAGGCGACGAUCCGUAGCUGGUCUGAGAGGAUGAUCAGCCACACUGGAACUGAGACACGGUCCAGACUCCUACGGGAGGCAGCAGUGGGGAAUAUUGGACAAUGGGCGCAAGCCUGAUCCAGCCAUACCGCGUGUGUGAAGAAGGCCUUCGGGUUGUAAAGCCCUUUUGUUGGGAAAGAAAAGCAGCAGGUUAAUACCCCGCUGUUCUGACGGUACCCAAAGAAUAAGCACCGGCUAACUUCGUG
rnacentral:rRNA from 1 species